GGCGCGGGUCCUGGGGCUGUCUCUGGGUCCUGAGGGCUGUGAGGGGCAUUUACAUCCUGUCCAGGCGGUAACAGGAGGAGCCUUAGUCUUGGGAUGCUGUGUGCUGCUUUCCUCUCAAAGGGAGGCAAGGCUGAGAGCUUCCCUGAAUCUGCUGCCUAGUGGGCUUUAGCUCAGAAACAUCCACAUCUAAGAGGCAGAUUUUGAGAUGAGACAUUCUGAUAUAGCGGCCCAGGGAAGACUUCCCCUCCGUCCCAUGAAGGUUCUUGGAAGAAUCCACUUGCGAAAAGCGGAUUAAUAGGGCAGAGGUGCUGGCAUUCAUUGUGAAUAGGCAUGGAGAGGUAGGGCGAAGAUGCUGACCUGCCCUCCUCCCAGGGAAAGGGGC
rnacentral:lncRNA from 1 species